CUGGCCACAGGUACCUCAAGCAUACAUACAUGUAUUCAUACAUACAUGUCGUAUAGAGGUUCGAAUCGGCACAAAGCGGAAGACGUAACUAAAUGAGAAGCAGUAGAAUAUUGAUUGUUCUCUGAAAUCUGGUGGAGCUGGCCACAGGUACCUCAAGCAUACAUACAUGUAUUGUGUGAUACUUGUCGUAUAGAGGUUCGAAUCGGCACAAAGCGGAAGACGUAACUAAAUGAGAAGCAGUAGAAUAUUGAUUGUUCUCUGAAAUCUGGUGGAGCUGGCCACAGGUACCUCAAGCAUACAUACAUGUAUUGUGUGAUACUUGUCGUAUAGAGGUUCGAAUCGGCACAAAGCGGAAGACGUAACUAAAUGAGAAGCAGUAGAAUAUUGAUUGUAAGCACAAAGGUUUGUUAGAUAACUCCUCUAGGCUCUAGCGCAUGUGACAACUCCAUUGAAACAGCACAGGAAUAGCUCGAAAUAAAAUGGAAGUUGAAACUGACAGAUACUUUUCCUGGGAAGAUUUAUUUGAUGGGAAAACAUCAUCGUUAUCCGGUUUUGUUACUUCCUAUACAAAACUUGAAAAGUUAAUAGAGACCUAUGAAUGUGCAACAUCCUCACGAUACCGCACCUUAAAAAGUUCCAAACACUUUGGAAAGAAGAUAGGUAAUUUUUUGAUAUUAAAAUAUUCCAGUACUUUAAGGUAUGAAGGGUCAUCCACACACCCCUAGCUUAUGUUUCCAUAUUACUGAGCAUUAGUUUUAAGAAGUAUAUCUACCUUUAUGAACUGGCCAGGAAUAGGAAUACAAUUUAUAUUGAUUUGUUAAAAAUUUAAUUUCAUAAGUUUAAAGCUAUUUUUCCCAUCCAUUUUUGCUUAGUAGCACAUUAAAUUUUGUGUAUUUCCUGGCAUGUACAUGUACCGGUAUUAAGCUCACAAAACAACCACAAAAAUUUGGUUUCAUAAGUCUACAUAUUUUUCUUACAUUUAUAACACUAUUAAAAAUAAAUAAAACUCGUAUCUUCUAAAAUACAUGGAGAUAAAAAUUAGGAGGACUCCAGAGAGUAUAGAAGAACCACAAAUCAAUAAAAUUAGAAGAAGAAAAUGAAAUUAAAUCCAGUAAAUUGAGGAAGAAGUAUUAUUUUAUAAAUCUUUUGUAUCUAAGUUCUAUUUUAGAGUUACCUUUCCUGUUAGCCAGGACUCUAAAAGUUUGAUAGGUCUCUGCAUACAUCAUCAUAUCAUUGGCAAGAGAUCUGGACAGAUAUAAAUGAACAACUGGAAAUGUUCACUAUUUAUAUAAUAGUGUUUUUCUUUGCAUGCACUAUGCCUAAAUACAUGUAGUAGUCAGGGUUUGACACAUGGUGCACGAGACGGAGGCGAGUGCAGUAUGUGUCAAACCCUGACUACUAUUUAGGCAUAGUGCAUGCAAAGUACAACACUAUUGUUAUUAUUAUGCUGACUGUUGAAUAAAAACGGCAAUAUUUUCUCCAUUUUCAAUGUUUCAUCACAUCUUACAUUCAUGUUAGUACACCCCUAUUAUGCUAUUUGUACGUCAUAGGCUUUUUUCUUUAAUUUUGAAUGUUUCAUGCAUUAGGUAUAAUGUACAGCUAGUUUCAGAGAAUUUUAGUUGAGUGAAGGGGAAAUUGCAAGAAACUAUUUCAGAAAAAUUAUUUUGUUUAUUUUUUUUCUUUAAUUGUGAAAUAUUUGAAACUAAGUUUAUAUAUAUUAUAAUUCAGUGUUUUAGAUAACG